rnacentral:rRNA from 1 species
UAGGAUGUUGAUCUUGCUCAGGAUGAACGCUGCGGUAAGCUUAACAAAUGCAAGUCGAACCGAAAUCUUAAGGGAUUUAGUGGCGGACGGGUGAGUAACGCGUGAGAAUCUACAAUUCAGGUCUGGGACAACCAUUGGAAACGGUGGCUAAUACCGGAUGUGCCGAGAGGUGAAAGGCUUGCUGCCUGAAAAUGAGCUCGCGUCUGAUUAGCUAGUUGGUGUGGUAAGAGCGCACCAAGGCGACGAUCAGUAGCUGGUCUGAGAGGAUGACCAGCCACACUGGGACUGAGACACGGGCCCAGACUCCUACGGGAGGCAGCAGUGGGGAAUUUUCCGCAAUGGGCGAAAGCCUGACGGAGCAAUACCGCGUGAGGGAGGAAGGCUCUUGGGUCGUAAACCUCUUUUCUCAAGGAAUAAGAAAGUGAAGGUACUUGAGGAAUAAGCAUCGGCUAACUCCGUGCCAGCAGCCGCGGUAAUACGGAGGAUGCAAGCGUUAUCCGGAAUGAUUGGGCGUAAAGGGUCCGCAGGUGGCAUUGAAAGUCUGCUGUUAAAGAGUUUGGCUCAACCAGAUAAAAGCAGUGGAAACUACAAAGCUAGAGUGCGUUCGGGGCAGAAGGAAUUCCUGGUGUAGCGGUGAAAUGCGUAGAGAUCAGGAAGAACACCGGUGGCGAAAGCGUUCUGCUAGGCCUGCACUGACACUGAGGGACGAAAGCUAGGGGAGCGAAUGGGAUUAGAUACCCCAGUAGUCCUAGCCGUAAACGAUGGAUACUAGGCGUGGCUUGUAUCGACCCAAGCCGUGCCCGGAGCUAACGCGUUAAGUAUCCCGCCUGGGGAGUACGCAGGCAACUGUGAAACUCAAAGGAAUUGACGGGGGCCCGCACAAGCGGUGGAGUAUGUGGUUUAAUUCGAUGCAACGCGAAGAACCUUACCAAGACUUGACAUGUCGCGAAUUUUCUGGAAAGGGAAAAGUGCCUUAGGGAGCGCGAACACAGGUGGUGCAUGGCUGUCGUCAGCUCGUGUCGUGAGAUGUUGGGUUAAGUCCCGCAACGAGCGCAACCCUCGUUUUUAGUUGCCAGCAUUAAGUUGGCGCACUCUAGAGAGACUGCCGGUGACAAACCGGGAGGAAGGUGGGGAAUGACGUCAAGUCAGCAUGUGCCCCCUUACGGUUCUUGGGCUACACACGUACUACAAUGCUACGGACAGAGGGCAGCUACACAGCGAUGUGAUGCAAAUCCACGAAACCGUAGCUCAGUUCAGAUCGCAGGCUGCAACUCGCCUGCGUGAAGGAGGAAUCGCUAGUAAUUGCAGGUCAGCAUACUGCAGUGAAUUCGUUCCCGGGCCUUGUAGCACACCGCCCGUCACACCAUGGAAGCUGGCAACGCCCGAAGUCAUUACUCCAACUUUUCGGAGAGGAGGAUGCGCUAAGCAGUGCUGGUGACUGGGGUGAAGUCGUAACAAGGUAGCCGUACCGGAAGGUGUGGCUGGAUCACCUCCUUUAAAGGGAGACCUAAACCCCUGAAUCUUGAAAGCAAAAAGCAAAUAGAGAUUGAGUUGGUCUACUUAAGGUCGGUCGAGAUUGCUAGAGCUUUCAAAGCAUCACUGUUUCGGUUAUUAGUUAAGACUAUUAAAAGACUGGAAAAUUUCACCACCUAACCGCAAAGCCUGAAAAACGGCAAACUUAAACUGCUGGGUCCAAUCCAUCCAAAACCCUUGAAACCUGUAUAGAAACGCGAAGCUGGAAACCACAGCUUUAUUUUGGAUUAUAUGAGUUGAUCCUGAAGAACCAUUAAGUUGGGUCACCAAUCAUGCUUAAUGGUGGAUACUCUAGACACUACAAGGCGAAGUC